rnacentral:tRNA from 1 species
CACUAAAUGGCUGAAAGUAAGCAACGGUCUCUUAAACCGCUUUAAAUCAUAUUAACGAAUGAUUUUAGUG